AAGAAUACGCCCGCUGGUUCAACUACCUGACGUACCUGCUUACGGUGCGAUAUUUCCGGCCCUGGCUGUGGAUACAGGCCCUCUACGACGCAACGCAUGAAGGGAAGUUCUGGAAGCGUACCGUCGACAACAUCGGCAAGUUGCAUCUUUCCGUGAUAGAGAAGAGGAAGUCUGCGAUAAUGAAAAAGCUUGUAGACGAGAGCUUCAACGACGAA
rnacentral:lncRNA from 1 species